rnacentral:tRNA from 1 species
GGGGGUUUAGCACAAUGGUAGAGCACAUGCUUAGCAUGCACAAGGUCAUGGGUUCAUUUCCCAAGUACCUCCA